rnacentral:rRNA from 1 species
GGUUAAGCGACUAAGCGUACACGGUGGAUGCCCUGGCAGUCAGAGGCGAUGAAGGACGUGCUAAUCUGCGAUAAGCGUCGGUAAGGUGAUAUGAACCGUUAUAACCGGCGAUUUCCGAAUGGGGAAACCCAGUGUGAUUCGUCACACUAUCAUUAACUGAAUCCAUAGGUUAAUGAGGCGAACCGGGGGAACUGAAACAUCUAAGUACCCCGAGGAAAAGAAAUCAACCGAGAUUCCCCCAGUAGCGGCGAGCGAACGGGGAGCAGCCCAGAGCCUGAAUCAGUGUGUGUGUUAGUGGAAGCGUCUGGAAAGGCGCGCGAUACAGGGUGACAGCCCCGUACACAAAAAUGCACAUGCUGUGAGCUCGAUGAGUAGGGCGGGACACGUGGUAUCCUGUCUGAAUAUGGGGGACCAUCCUCCAAGGCUAAAUACUCCUGACUGACCGAUAGUGAACCAGUACCGUGAGGGAAAGGCGAAAAGAACCCCGGCGAGGGGAGUGAAAAAGAACCUGAAACCGUGUACGUACAAGCAGUGGGAGCCUCUUUAUGGGGUGACUGCGUACCUUUUGUAUAAUGGGUCAGCGACUUAUAUUCUGUAGCAAGGUUAACCGAAUAGGGGAGCCGAAGGGAAACCGAGUCUUAACUGGGCGUUAAGUUGCAGGGUAUAGACCCGAAACCCGGUGAUCUAGCCAUGGGCAGGUUGAAGGUUGGGUAACACUAACUGGAGGACCGAACCGACUAAUGUUGAAAAAUUAGCGGAUGACUUGUGGCUGGGGGUGAAAGGCCAAUCAAACCGGGAGAUAGCUGGUUCUCCCCGAAAGCUAUUUAGGUAGCGCCUCGUGAACUCAUCUCCGGGGGUAGAGCACUGUUUCGGCAAGGGGGUCAUCCCGACUUACCAACCCGAUGCAAACUGCGAAUACCGGAGAAUGUUAUCACGGGAGACACACGGCGGGUGCUAACGUCCGUCGUGAAGAGGGAAACAACCCAGACCGCCAGCUAAGGUCCCAAAGUCAUGGUUAAGUGGGAAACGAUGUGGGAAGGCCCAGACAGCCAGGAUGUUGGCUUAGAAGCAGCCAUCAUUUAAAGAAAGCGUAAUAGCUCACUGGUCGAGUCGGCCUGCGCGGAAGAUGUAACGGGGCUAAACCAUGCACCGAAGCUGCGGCAGCGACGCUUAUGCGUUGUUGGGUAGGGGAGCGUUCUGUAAGCCUGUGAAGGUGUGCUGUGAGGCAUGCUGGAGGUAUCAGAAGUGCGAAUGCUGACAUAAGUAACGAUAAAGCGGGUGAAAAGCCCGCUCGCCGGAAGACCAAGGGUUCCUGUCCAACGUUAAUCGGGGCAGGGUGAGUCGACCCCUAAGGCGAGGCCGAAAGGCGUAGUCGAUGGGAAACAGGUUAAUAUUCCUGUACUUGGUGUUACUGCGAAGGGGGGACGGAGAAGGCUAUGUUGGCCGGGCGACGGUUGUCCCGGUUUAAGCGUGUAGGCUGGUUUUCCAGGCAAAUCCGGAAAAUCAAGGCUGAGGCGUGAUGACGAGGCACUACGGUGCUGAAGCAACAAAUGCCCUGCUUCCAGGAAAAGCCUCUAAGCAUCAGGUAACAUCAAAUCGUACCCCAAACCGACACAGGUGGUCAGGUAGAGAAUACCAAGGCGCUUGAGAGAACUCGGGUGAAGGAACUAGGCAAAAUGGUGCCGUAACUUCGGGAGAAGGCACGCUGAUAUGUAGGUGAAGUCCCUCGCGGAUGGAGCUGAAAUCAGUCGAAGAUACCAGCUGGCUGCAACUGUUUAUUAAAAACACAGCACUGUGCAAACACGAAAGUGGACGUAUACGGUGUGACGCCUGCCCGGUGCCGGAAGGUUAAUUGAUGGGGUCAGCGCAAGCGAAGCUCUUGAUCGAAGCCCCGGUAAACGGCGGUACGUAACUAUAACGGUCCUAAGGUAGCGAAAUUCCUUGUCGGGUAAGUUCCGACCUGCACGAAUGGCGUAAUGAUGGCCAGGCUGUCUCCACCCGAGACUCAGUGAAAUUGAACUCGCUGUGAAGAUGCAGUGUACCCGCGGCAAGACGGAAAGACCCCGUGAACCUUUACUAUAGCUUGACACUGAACAUUGAGCCUUGAUGUGUAGGAUAGGUGGGAGGCUUAGAAGUGUGGACGCCAGUCUGCAUGGAGCCGACCUUGAAAUACCACCCUUUAAUGUUUGAUGUUCUAACGUUGACCCGUAAUCCGGGUUGCGGACAGUGUCUGGUGGGUAGUUUGACUGGGGCGGUCUCCUCCUAAAGAGUAACGGAGGAGCACGAAGGUUGGCUAAUCCUGGUCGGACAUCAGGAGGUUAGUGCAAUGGCAUAAGCCAGCUUGACUGCGAGCGUGACGGCGCGAGCAGGUGCGAAAGCAGGUCAUAGUGAUCCGGUGGUUCUGAAUGGAAGGGCCAUCGCUCAACGGAUAAAAGGUACUCCGGGGAUAACAGGCUGAUACCGCCCAAGAGUUCAUAUCGACGGCGGUGUUUGGCACCUCGAUGUCGGCUCAUCACAUCCUGGGGCUGAAGUAGGUCCCAAGGGUAUGGCUGUUCGCCAUUUAAAGUGGUACGCGAGCUGGGUUUAGAACGUCGUGAGACAGUUCGGUCCCUAUCUGCCGUGGGCGCUGGAGAACUGAGGGGGGCUGCUCCUAGUACGAGAGGACCGGAGUGGACGCAUCACUGGUGUUCGGGUUGUCAUGCCAAUGGCACUGCCCGGUAGCUAAAUGCGGAAGAGAUAAGUGCUGAAAGCAUCUAAGCACGAAACUUGCCCCGAGAUGAGUUCUCCCUGACUCCUUGAGAGUCCUGAAGGAACGUUGAAGACGACGACGUUGAUAGGCCGGGUGUGUAAGCGCAGCGAUGCGUUGAGCUAACCGGUACUAAUGAACCGUGAGGCUUAACCUU